GUGCUCUCUUUGGCAGCACAUAUACUAAAACUGGAAUGAUACAGAGAAGAUUAGCAUGGCUUUGCUCAAGGAUGACUUGCAAAUUCGUGAAGCAUUCCAUAUUUUU